AACCUCAUUAAAACGCGCUUGUGCCUAAAUUGUCUAAUAACAAUUAUUAGACAAUAAAUGUCUAAUCAGGAUUGUGGGUUAGAGUCCCACUCUAAGGGAGACAGUAUGAAAGGUUCAAUCCGUUGUCUGGGAACUAAGAUCCCACAAGCCGCACAGCGCGGCCAUAAAAAAAGUUAUAACCACCGAGGUACCCAAAAGAUCCGGUUAGAAUCCCAGGCCUUUGGAUUUCUUGGUCUAUGUCUGACUGUUUUGUUUGUUAGGAAUUGGCUAAUAGGGUUAACUAUUGGAUGACCACAGAAAAACUUUAUUGAAUCUCUUUUAUGUCAUUUUGCUGUGGUCAUCCUGAGAAAAAAAUACUUCCAAGAUGGGGAAUGAUAACAGCGUACCAGACGGCACUCCCUUGAAAAGUGUUCUUUGAGGUUGGUCAAUGUUUACCUCUAAUGAUGAAAGAGGUAUGAAAAAAAAGAAAAUGAUUUUCUUUUGUAACACUGCCUGGCCCAAAUAUCUACUGGAGUCAGGGGAAAUAUGGCCCCCAAAUGGGUCUUUGAACUAUAAUACUAUUAUACAGUUAGACUCGUUUUGUAAGAGAGAGAAAAAAUGGGACGAAAUUCCAUAUGUAGACUCAUUUAUGUCUUUAUAUAAGAGGAGAAAUAUGCAUAAGGCAUUUAUUGAUAAAAUGAUGGGUCAGAGGGAAGAACCUCACAAAAAGCCUGUUUUACCCGAGUCAAAGUCUAAUGACGAUCUAGUCCCUCCGUCUGCACCUUUUGCAGUAGCCGGACUGUGGGCACUUCCUACGGUAGCCCCUCCCUCAGCACCUCUUGUGGUUCCCGGGAAUCCUGAAGGGGAUCUUCCUGCAGGCAGUGCCAAGGCUUUUACCAGUCCUCCUAGGGCUGCUGGUCCGGCUCUGUACUCGCCCUUAGCAGAUGGUCAACAAGGAAUGGUCUACCCUCCCUGUACCCUCCAGGGUAUUCAGUUUGGCCCAGGGAACACUCGACAGUAGGCGGGACAAUUUCCGUUAAGGCAGGUCCCAGCAGGCUUGGAUGACCAAGGCCAAUCCAGAGCACCUGGAAUCAUGCAUCAUCGUUUAUCAGUCAUAGAUUUCCUUAAUUAUAAAGCUAAAAUGCCAUCUUAUCAAGGUGAUACUAGGAAUAUGGAGAAUCUCUUUACAUAUAUUUUUGCUGUUUUUCAUCCUAACUGGGCUGACAUACAGACCCUCAUGUGUAUCCUACUCAGUCCAGAGGAACGCAGCAUGAUAUUAGAGAAGGCCUUCCAGGAAGCCAAAAGGCUUCAUGAAUUAAAACCAAAUAAUCCAAUCAGAACUCCAGCAAAGCAGGCCAUCCCUGGAACUGAACCAGAAUGGGAUCCCAGUGACCCAGGGGAUCAAGCAAGGCUGAAUCAUUAUAAAGAUUGUUUAAUAACUGGACUGCAGAAAGGGGCAAACAGCUUCAAGAGGGUCCGGAAUGUACAGCCAGGGCCUGAGGAGGGCCCAUUCACCUUCCUUGAAAGGCUUUAUGAGGCUUUCCGAAAAUACACUGAUGUUGAUCCGGAACACCCAGAUGACGUGGGACUGGUCAAUUUAAACUUUAUCGGUCAGAGUGCCCCAGAUAUAAGAAAAAAACUAGAACGACUGGAAGGGGGAUCAUGGACACCAACGUCUCAGUUGGUCCAGAUUGCUUUUGAAGUGUUCAAAGGCCGAUACGAAAUUUGGGAAAAGCAGGAGCAAUGCAUCGAGCACUGCAUCGUGAGGCAGGUUGCUCUGCUCAGCUGUAACCAGUCAAAACCCAGCAGGACGUCUGCAGGAGAGAACAGACGACCACGGGUAAGACCCUGGGGACCUCCAAAACCCAGCCGGAAAGGCCAUCCAUCUGUUGGGCCACAACAGUGUACCUUUUGUAAAUAGGAAGGGCGCUGGAAAAGGGAGUGUCCCAAAAACAGACAGGGCCCCCUCUCCCCCAAGAUAACAUCCAUUACUGGUGUAUCUGGGGAAGUCUCUCAGAAACCUUUUCUACAAUGGCUUGAAUGUCAUGUAGAGAAAACACAUGUAAAGUACAGCUUUGUGUAUGUCCCUGGAUGUCAUAGUCCCUCAUCAGGGCAAGAGGUACUAACAAAUUUAAAUGACCAAGUGGGUUUCUCAGCAGAAAAAGUAGACACCAAAGUACUCCCAGGUCAAGACUGCGCCCUCCAAGCUGCGCCAUUACAAUUGGGAGACAAGCCUCAACCAGAUGUCCCUGAAGAAAUUCUUAAAAAGCCACUCUGCUCCCCAGAAGAACCUGUUCACGAUUGUACAUGAAAACAGAAGAACCUGUUCAUGAUUGUAUAUGAAAAAUUGAAGAAGAGUAUUCUAGCAGACCUGACCUGACUGAUCAGCCUUUAGAGAAUCCAGAUAUGGAAACGUUUACAGUCGGGAACAGCCUCAUGGAUCGUGGACUCCGAAAAGCUGGAUAUGCAGUGGCAACUCAUCAGGAGGUCGUAGAAGCAGAAGCUCUCCCUCCAGGUACGUCUGUCCAGAAGGCAGAGCUCGUAGCCCUCAGGAGAGCCCUGCAUCUUGGAGCUAAGAAAAAGGUAACCAUUUAUACUGCUUCUAAGUAUGCCUUCUCUGUCAUGCAUGCACAUGGGGCCAUGUGGAAAAAGAGAGGUCAACUAACAUCAGGAAAGAAAAAAAAUUAAACAUGCAGAGGAGAUACUGGCCUUAUUAAACUCUGUUUUUAAUGCUGGAAGAAGUAGCCAUAGUACGUUGCCCGCACCAAAAGACUGAUAGCUGUAUAGCUAAAGGAAAUAAUUUGACUGAACACGUAGCAAAACAGGCGACCAGAGCCAAACACCCUAGCACUCAUUCAAAGUGUGGCCCUGUCCCUGUUUAAGCCUCAGUAUUCAGAAAUGGAUCUAGAGAGAGAUGAUGAAUGGGGAUUUCACACUGACUCUUGAGACAUAGACGGUGAUCAGUACCAAACAAACAAAGAAGGCUGGAUAUAUAAUGAACAGGGAUUCGUGCUUAUGCUCCAACAUUUAAUGGAAAGAAUUAUCACUCAUCUACAUCAAGGAACCCAUUACGGGAAGGAUGCAACCUAUCAUUGGCUACAAAAGUUUAUUGUUAGUCCAUAAAUGCAAAGGACUAUCCAAAAGGUAAUACAAAAUUGCCUGAUUUGCACCAGAAACAAUCCUAAAGCCGGGCCACCUCCAAUAUUCAAAGGGGUGCAAACCCGAGGGACAGAACCAAGAGAUGCCUGGCAAAUAGACUUUACUGUUAUGCCAAGAGCCAUGGGACAUUAUAGAUAUUUGCUGGUAUUUGUGGACACCUUCACAGGACGGGUCAAAGCUUUUCUGUGCUGGAGAGAGAAAUCUUCCUAGGUAAAAAAGGCCUUACUAAAAGAAAUUAGCCCUCAUUUUGGGUUGCCUCUUUCCAUUCAAAGUGACAGUGGAGGAGCUUUCAUAGCCAAGGUAACGCAAGGGGUAUCUGGGGCCCUCGGACUACAAUAGAAGUUACAUGCUUCAUGGAGCCCUUAUGACUGAAAUGAUGAAUCAUACCUUAAAAGAGACAAUCACCGAAGUAUGUUAAGAAACCAACUUCACUUGAGAUAAUGUCUUAACAGUUGUCCUGCUGAGGGUAAGAGUAGCCCCUAGAAGCAAGCGCCACUUGAGCCCUUAUGAAAUGUUAACGGGAGACCCUUCCUUAAGACUUAGUAUUAUUGCUGUCUUGAAAGUGAUCUCAUUGUAAAAGAAUUAGAUACUAUAAAAUGUGUACAGUCCCUUGGUGCUAUCUUAUUUUCUGUAUAUAAAUAUGCCUCUAGCCAAUUAACAUUUCCUGCAGACAUUCCUGUGCACUGCAUAAGCCCAGGGAAUUGGGUCCUCCUCAAACUUGGAAAAAUGACUGCCCUGAGGAUCAACUGCAACCCAAGUGGAUUGGAGCCUAUGAAGUCCUUCUGGUUACACAUUCUUCAGUAGAGCUGAAAGGAGUUAAACCUUGGAUACACCCCUCCAGAGUAAAAAUAGUACCCAUUUCUAACCAGCACCCCCCUUGUCCCCUUUACAGUUCCCAAACAGGGCACGCUCUCCAGGGACAGGAGGAAGUAGGAGGACCCAACCUUCCUAACACCAGAGGGGCCUGGAAACCCACUACUGAUUUCUCGGCCCCUAAUUACACUUGUAAACCCUUAACUGAACUUAAGUUACUUUUCAAAUAGAAACAGGACAGCUAAGUCUCCACCUGGUCAGGAAGAGAAGAUGAGGACAUCUCGAAAGUAGACAGCUCCACCCAGAAGUCUGGACCAGGCUGAUAUAAAUCCAAAUUCAGUCACUAAGAAUGUUAAAAAUAACAUGUUUUCACUGGUUCCCAAAGAAUAAGGUCUGUUUUUGGAGGACUGUUAAAAUUAGGAAUCAUAGUUCUGUGUAUCAUGGGGUUAAUCUUUUUACUCACCAAAUUUUUUACUUAUUGUCUAUCUCAUAUAUUUUAAAAGGCCUCCCCCACUCACAUGUUGAUUGCCCAAGACUUAAGCGUUCAAAGUGGGACUCGUGAAUAUUUACAAUCAAGUGCAAAAACAAUUUCAUUCCUCUUAUAAAAAUCUAUGCCCCUUCUCAGCAGGAAGCAGCUAGAGCGGUCGUCGCCCUAUUUCCCUUAAGAUUGAGGAAUGUUGUAAAGCAAUUAUACCCCAAUAAAGAUGUUAAAAAAAAAAAAAAAAGAUUGAGGAAUGUACAAAGUAAAAGGGGGGCACUAAAACAGCACAUAAAACAUUGACCUGCUUAUCCUAGUUUUGUCUCCUUAAAUAGGUUGUUGACUAAUCAAACCUUGAGUUAUUUUACAGAGACAGCACUCCCAUGUGCAAGACAGGAACCCAUGUCUCCAGGAUGACCCCAGAACCAAGAAUCUUCAGUCUGCAGAACUCAAACAAUAGACAUGUUGCCACUGGAGCCCUUUACCAAGCAAGAAGUUCUUCAGUAAGAAAAAUCCAGCUUCCAGCUGCCCAAAUAGCUUGAUUCCAAUCAGCUUCUGACUGUCAACACUAGCCAAUAAGCUUGUGAAAUUCUCCUAACUUACAUUUUGCCCUGAACACUGGACAGGGAGACAGAUUUGAGCCCUGCCUCCUGUCGGCUGACUCACAAUAAAAUGCUUUCUUUUCUUAAAAA